CGGGUUACACCUGACUGACCGAAUUUUGUCCUGAGCCAUUUCCUGAUCGGGACAGACCGGAGCCGUGGAAGACUCACCCAGGUCUACGGUAACGCACACGAAGGGCGCGUGUUGACAAUGCUAAAGAUGAAGGGCAGCUCUGUCGCAGCCUGUCUCCUGUUCUGCGCCAUGACCUGGUGUCCUACGUAUGGAGAGGCCGGAUGUGUGCAUUAUCUAACCGGAGUACGGGGGGAGGUGAGCAGUGCAACGGAUGCGACGUCUGACUAUUGUGAGUGGGUCAUCCGGACUGAUGAAAACAGGUUAAUACUGAUCAAUUUUGAUGUCGGGAGUGGCGCCGAGGUUCUCACAACUGUUCCGCUACCAUUAUGACAUUCCAUGAUGGAAGUUCAGCAAACAGCAACAUCGACACAUUCUGCGGAGAUUAUGAGGAAAGAGAGCCAGCCAUUCCAGACGUCUCCACGGCUAGUACCGGUAAUCAGCUACGCUUUGUUUUCAACCACG